rnacentral:rRNA from 1 species
UGGGGAAUUUUGGACAAUGGGCGAAAGCCUGAUCCAGCAAUGCCGCGUGUGUGAAGAAGGCCUUCGGGUUGUAAAGCACUUUUGUCCGGAAAGAAAUCCUUGGCUCUAAUACAGUCGGGGGAUGACGGUACCGGAAGAAUAAGCACCGGCUAACUACGUGCCAGCAGCCGCGGUAAUACGUAGGGUGCAAGCGUUAAUCGGAAUUACUGGGCGUAAAGCGUGCGCAGGCGGUUUGCUAAGACCGAUGUGAAAUCCCCGGGCUCAACCUGGGAACUGCAUUGGUGACUGGCAGGCUAGAGUAUGGCAGAGGGGGUAGAAUUCCACGUGUAGCAGUGAAAUGCGUAGAGAUGUGGAGGAAUACCGAUGGCGAAGGCAGCCCCCUGGGCCAAUACUGACGCUCAUGCACGAAAAGCGUGGGGAGCAAAACAGGAUUAGAUACCCUGGUAGUCCACGCCCUAAACGAUGUCAACUAGUUGUUGGGGAUUCAUUUCCUUAGUAACGUAGCUAACGCGUGAAGUUGACCGCCUGGGGAGUACGGUCGCAAGAUUAAAAC